rnacentral:rRNA from 1 species
UGGGGAAUAUUGCACAAUGGGGGAAACCCUGAUGCAGCGACGCCGCGUGAGCGAUGAAGGCUUUCGAGUCGUAAAGCUCUGUCCUAUGGGAAGAUAAUGACGGUACCAUAGAAGAAAGCCCCGGCUAAUUACGUGCCAGCAGCCGCGGUAAUACGUAGGGCGCGAGCGUUGUCCGGAAUUAUUGGGCGUAAAGGGCUUGUAGGCGGUUGGCCGCGUCUGCCGUGAAAUCCUCUGGCUUAACUGGGGGCGUGCGGUGGGUACGGGUUGACUUGAGUGCGGUAGGGGAGACUGGAAUUCCUGGUGUAGCGGUGGAAUGCGCAGAUAUCAGGAGGAACACCGGUGGCGAAGGCGGGUCUCUGGGCCGUUACUGACGCUGAGGAGCGAAAGCGUGGGGAGCGAACAGG